rnacentral:rRNA from 1 species
AUUGAACGCUGGCGGCAUGCCUUACACAUGCAAGUCGAACGGCAGCACGGAGCUUGCUCUGGUGGCGAGUGGCGAACGGGUGUGUAAUAUAUCGGAACGUACCCAAGAGUGGGGGAUAACGUAGCGAAAGUUACGCUAAUACCGCAUACGAUCUAAGGAUGAAAGCAGGGGACCGCAAGGCCUUGUGCUCCUGGAGCGGCCGAUAUCUGAUUAGCUAGUUGGUGAGGUAAAGGCUCACCGAGGCAUCGAUCAGUAGCUGGUCUGAGAGGACGACCAGCCACACUGGAACUGAGACACGGUCCAGACUCCUACGGGAGGCAGCUGUGGGGAAUUUUGGACAAUGGGGGCAACCCUGAUCCAGCAAUGCCGCGUGAGUGAAGAAGGCCUUCGGGUUGUAAAGCUCUUUUGUCAGGGAAGAAACGGUCGUGGCUAAUAUCCAUGGCUAAUGACGGUACCUGAAGAAUAAGCACCGGCUAAUUACGUGCCAGCCGCCGCCGUAACAC